rnacentral:snRNA from 1 species
GUGCUGGCUUCAGCAGCUCUCACACUGGAUUUGGAACGACAUAGAGAAGAUUAGCAUGGAUGACAGGCAAAUUUGUAAAGUGGUCCAUAUUAAA